rnacentral:rRNA from 1 species
UACGGAGGGUGCGAGCGUUGUCCGGAAUCAUUGGGCGUAAAGGGCGCGUAGGUGGCCUGCUAAGCGUGCGGUGAAAGUCGGGGGCUCAACCCCCGAUCGGCCGUGCCGAACUGGGAGGCUUGAGCACUGUAGAGGCAGGCGGAAUUCCGGGUGUAGCGGUGAAAUGCGUAGAGAUCAGGAAGAACACCGGUGGCGAAGGCGCUCUGCUAGGCCGCAACUGACACUGAGGGACGAAAGGCUAGGGGAGCGAAUGGG